AUGGAGUCACACACCCAAGUCUUCAUAUUCCUGCUCCUCUGGUUGUCUGGUGCUGAGGGAAACAUUGUGAUGACCCAGACUCCUGAAUUCAUGUCCACAUCUAUUGGAGAGAGAAUUACCCUAAGCUGCAAGUCUAGUCAGAGUGUGAGUGGUUGGGUAGCUUGGUACCAGCAGAAACCAGGGCAGCCUUCUAAACUGCUGACCUACAGGGCAUCCAAUCGAUACACUGGGGUACCAGAUCGAUUCACAGGCACUGGAUCUGGGACAGAUUACACUCUCGCCAUCAGCAGUGUGCAGGCUGAAGACCUGGCAGUUUAUUACUGUCUGCAGUAUGACAGCUAUCCUCCCACAGUGCUUCAGUCUCCAACACAAACCUCCUUGAGAAUCUCACCAGCUGCUUGCAACACAAACAUCCCUGGGCCUGCACACUUCCCCCUUCUGCCUGAGAUCUGCUAUGCAUGA